GGGCAUUAUUUUUGGUGGCCAUCACAGAAGGUGUGGCUUUUGCUUUCAGAUGCCUUGGUAUUUCUGAUUCACAGCUACACAGUCUGGCAAGAUAGCCAACUGACGCCUUUUCACAUUGCCAGGGCGUGCCUCGUGCGUUGUCCUGUGGAACCAGUCCAAAGUGGCAUUGUCAAGGAGAUGUAAACUGCAGAAAAUGGACCUGGCCAGGAGGAAGAAAGAGGCAGUCUGCUCAGAGUGGCGGUUGACGGGCACCCAGACCUGUGAGUGAUUAGCUCAUGCUUUUCGACGGUCAGCUGACAGGGAAGUCUACACAGAUGCGGAAAACUGAGGCUCAGAUUCCACCGACUUGCUCCAGGUCACCUAGCCAGAAAGUGGCAGAGACAGAUGAGAAGACACAGAUACAGGGAGAAGAGGAGAAAGCCAUUUGAAGACGGAGGGAGAGACUGGAGUGGUGCAGCCACAAGCCAAGGAAAGUCUGAAGCCAACAGAAGCUGGAAGACGCAAGGAAGGAUUCUCCCCUAGAGCCUUUGGCCGUGCCUGACACCUUGAAGUUCAACGCUUCUGGCCCCCAGAACAGAAUAAAUUUCUGUUGUUUUAAGUCACUAAGUUUGUGGUCGUUUUCUGUAGCAGCCACAGGAAAUGUACACCCCCCCAUCCC